rnacentral:snRNA from 1 species
AUACUUACCUGGCAGAGGAGAUCUCAUGAUCACGAAGGUGGUAUUUCCAGGGUGAGACCUAUCCAUUGUACUCUGGAUGUGCUGACUCCUGUAAUUUCCUCAAAAGUGGGAAACCUGACUACAUAAUUUGUGGUAGUGGGGUGUUAUGUUGGUACUCCCCAC